rnacentral:lncRNA from 1 species
GGGAAAUUGACUAUUUACUCGUUUAGUAACAUACUUGUAUAAUUCAUGUGAAUAUCAUCUGAAUAUCCCAUAGGUUGAUCAAGUGAUUUGCAUUACUUUCUUUUCUAUAUUUUACAAAUUACUUUGAAGCUCAUAACUUUCUUUUCUCGGCAUAGUAGCAUAUGGUUUCGCGCCAAGGAUAUGGUGGCAUAAUCAAAAUCAAAG